GGGAAUGGGUUAUUUUGGAUGUGUGGUUAUUUUGGACGAUUUUCUCUCACCAUGCGUUACUCUCCAUCAGUGCAACCCUUCCUUUCUCAGACUUAUCUCUUCCCUCCAUCAAUGUUGAUCUUUCUCCCUCGUGUCUUCUCAAACCCCCUCUGUACUACUUCUCAUACCCUUUGUAUUCUCCAUCAAUGCUCUGAUCCUACGUCUUCUCCUUCGUCUUCUUCUUGAAUCGUUCUCUUGAAACCCUAAUCCAUGGUCCUCUUUAUAGAACCAUGAAACCUUAUGCUCAUAAGAUCUACUUUCCUUCAACCCUAAUCCAUGGAUUCUCUCUAUCUCACUACGCUUCCCUCAUGCCUUCUUUCAUCACCAUACGUCCCUCACUCUCCAUCCAUGGAUCUAUACAGGCAACCCAUUUUCUAUGUAGAUCCGUUACAUUGAGAACUGCCCUUGCCACUCCAACAGCCCAAAUCCAUUUCUCUUGUCGCCUUUAAGAACCACUGUUGCUUUCUUUAACGAAGAUGCAUGGUAGGAGAAUGAUGGGUUGCAGAGCCUGGCAAGGGGUAAGGUGGAAUCAAUUUUAGACAAAGAGAAUUUUUCAUUGGAAGAGCUUCUCGACGAAGAAGAAAUAAUCCAAGAAUGCAAAGCCCUGGACAGUCGUUUAGUUAACUUUCUACCGGACAGAGCCCAGGUGGAACAACUAUUGUGCUACAUUGUUGAAGAACCUCCAGAGGAUGCUGAAAGUAAACGAGCAUUCAAGCUCAUCGAGAUGUACUGCGCCAAUUAGUUGAUUUAAUUGGAAUUACAUCUAUUAUGGAGGUUUUGGUACGACUUGUUAGUGCUAAUGAUCAUGUCUAUCCAAAUUUUAUGGAUGUGAUGCAAUGGUUGUCUAAGAGUGAUAUGCUGGAAAUGAUUGUUGAUAAGCUGAGUCCAUCUGUGCGUGACAAAUUGAAAUUUCAUUAACAUUUGGCCUUUUAUAUAUUUAUAUAAAUGUGAUUAUGGUUAUAAUAUUAAUUUUUCUCCUUAGACCAAAGUCUGCCUAAGGUUCAUGCAAAUGCGGCAGAAACAUUAUGUGUUAUAGCCCGUAAUGCCCCAUCUGCUCUUGCUGCCAAACUUUCUAGCCCCAGGUUGACCAAGAACCGCUUCUUUAUUUUUCAGUUUUUGUGGUAGUAUGCAGAUAAGUCAUCGUUGUUUUGACUUAUAAAUCACUUCUUAUGCAGUUUUGUUGCAAGGGUAUUCUGUUACAAGUAUGAAUUUAUGGACUGGUUAAUAUUCGAUUUAAAUUAUUUGAUCAUUCGAUAAGCAUCACUACAAGAAUUUUCCCUUGAAUGUACCAUUUAUGCACAUUCCCAAUAAACAUGGUUAGUUGAAUAUGAAUUCUAAUAACAUUUUCACUUUCAAUCCUUUGUCUUAAACCUUUUUUGUUUGUGUAUUUUUUAGGUGUUUCGAAGGGGUGGGGAGGAGAUGGAUUUCUUGUAACAAGGGAUUCAAGUGAAAAUUGUUCCUGAUGCAACAAAGGUGUAAAUAUUUGGCAACCUCUUUAUGCUUUUUCUUGGGGAACUUUAGAUUCAACACAUUCACUACAAGAAUUUUGCCUUGAAUGUACCAUUUAUGCACAUUCCCAAUAAACACGUGGUCAGACAAAGAUGUCUAUAACCAGACACUGCUGAAGCUAGGGGUUGGUUCAAGAAGAAUUAUGAAGAGAUCCAUACUUAUCAAGUGGAGAGAGACAGUGAUCUCAUAAUGUUUGUAUUACUUGUAAUUUGUGUUUUCAAGGCCUGAAUUAUUAUACAACUUUUUAAAUUAUAAUUUUAUAGCAGAAUUUGUGGAUUAAA